CCUCAGCUACUUCCAUGGCAAUUUCCUUGGAAAAUGGACUCUGGAUAAUACCUGCAGAAAUGCCUCACAUUCUACAGUUUUGCUUGGCAGCAGAAGUGAAAAAGCAAACUGCCAUGUUGGUGAGCUGCCCUAUGGAGAGACCCACAUGGCAAGGGACCUUAUAAGAACAGCCUCCAGCUUACAGCCAUCAAGGAACUGAAUCUACCCAACAACCACAUGAGCUUGGAAGUGGAUCCUUCCCCAGCUGAAUGUUCAGAAGAGGUAUCAGUGCUAGUCAACACCUUGACUGCAGCUCUGUGAGAAACUAAAGAAGAGGUAUCAGAUAAGCCAAGCCUGUAUUCCUGACUCACAGAAACUGUGAUGUAAUAAAUGUGUGUUGUUUGAAGUAA